CACGUAGGGUGCGAGCGUUGUCCGGAAUUAUUGGGCGUAAAGAGCUCGUAGGCGGUCUGUCGCGUCGGAUGUGAAAAUCCAGGGCUCAACCCUGGACCUGCAUUCGAUACGGGCAGACUAGAGUUCGGUAGGGGAGACUGGAAUUCCUGGUGUAGCGGUGAAAUGCGCAGAUAUCAGGAGGAACACCGGUGGCGAAGGCGGGUCUCUGGGCCGAAACUGACGCUCAGACACGACAGCAUGGGGAGCGAACGGG
rnacentral:rRNA from 1 species